rnacentral:misc_RNA from 1 species
GACUCUCAGACAUCUUUGGUGCAUAAUAGAAUAUCUGUUUAGCACAUAUUUAGUAUUCAGAGAUGAGCUAAAACCAAAUUGACCCCAUCAUUUGUCAAUGUAAACUAAAAAUACUAUAUUAUACUCCUUCGUCACCCGAAUCAUCAUUCUCAUUCAUUGUAAAACAACAACAAUAGAGAAAGAACAAUAAGUGUCACUUGGAACACAAGAUAGAGUAAUCUGCGUACACAACCUAAACCAAAAACCAAAAAAGAGCUUACUUUAUCUUGUGUCCCAAUCAUUUCU